rnacentral:rRNA from 1 species
UACGUAGGGUGCAAGCGUUAUCCGGAAUUAUUGGGCGUAAAGAGCUCGUAGGCGGUUUGUCGCGUCUGCUGUGAAAACUGGGGGGCCUCCAACCCCCCAGCCUGCAGGUGGGUACGGGGCAGACUAGAGUGCGGUAGGGGAGAUUGGAAUUCCUGGUGUAGCGGUGGAAUGCGCAGAUAUCAGGAGGAACACCGAUGGCGAAGGCAGAUCUCUGGGCCGUAACUGACGCUGAGGAGCGAAAGCAUGGGGAGCGAACAGG